rnacentral:rRNA from 1 species
GAGGGGGUCGCGGCUGAUUAGCUAGUUGGUGGGGUAACGGCCCACCAAGGCAAAGAUCAGUAGCCGGCCUGAGAGGGCGCACGGCCACACUGGAACUGAAACACGGUCCAGACUCCUACGGGAGGCAGCAGUGGGGAAUUUUGCGCAAUGGGGGAAACCCUGACGCAGCAACGCCGCGUGGAGGAUGAAGUCCCUUGGGAUGUAAACUCCUUUCGAUCGGGACGAUAAUGACGGUACCGGAAGAAGAAGCACCGGCUAACUCUGUGCCAGCAGCCGCGGUAAUACAGAGGGUGCAAGCGUUGUUCGGAAUUAUUGGGCGUAAAGGGCGCGUAGGCGGUGCGGUAAGACUGUGGUGAAAUCUCCGGGCUCAACUCGGAAAUUGCCGCGGUGACUGCCGUGCUGGAGUGUGGGAGAGGUGAGUGGAAUUCCCGGUGUAGCGGUGAAAUGCGUAGAUAUCGGGAGG